GCAAGAUCUUGGCUGGAAUGUAAAAGGAAUGUCCAAAAUAUUUAAAUGACAAACAGGAUGGGAACUGAUAAUGAGGAAUGUAUGUCCAGUUUUUUUUUGUUUUUUUUUGUGUUUUUUUAAUACAGAUAUGAAAGAUGACAUUACCCUAACUUAGAGUCAUAGGAGUUUCAUUAAUUUAUUUACUCAGAUGCUGAAACAGACAUCUGGCAUAUUCCUAUAAUCAGUAUCAUGGCCUUUGUAUACAACAAAAUUGAUUGGAACUCCUAGACUAGAAAUAUAAUUCAAGAUUUAAAUAAGGCACUGGUCAUAGUUUUAGAAAGUGUGGCUAGCAUUCUGAAGGAAGACAGAGAGAUGGAAAGACAUCAAAGAAUGGGCAGGUCUGCCAAGAAAUGGUUUAUCCAGGGCUAAGUACAGAGAGGAAUAUAGAAGGGCUGUUGACAGAUCUUGUGUGGUGCCCCCAUGGUUCAACAGACUAAUUGAUUGAAAAUAAUACCAGGGUUAUGCUCCUUUGACCAUUGAGUUCCAGGAUGAAGAAUGAAAGACAGAGAGCAAUGUGAAGACAUGAAAGAAUGGGCAGGUCUGCCAUGAAAUGGUUUAUCCAGGGCUAAGUACAGAGAGGAAUAUAGAAGGGCUGUUGACAGAUCUUGUGUGGUGCCCCCAUGGUUCAACAGACUGAUUGAUAGGUAAUGGUAAGAAUUUAAUGUAUUUUGUAAACAAAAUGGUGUUAAUUACAUUAAGGGACUUAAUCACUCUUUUUUUAAUUUUUACAUUCAUUUAAUGUAAUUAUUUUAUACAGUAAUAUAUGAUUUUUAUCUUGGUAAAUCAUUUAAAUAUAUAUCCUGCUAAUCAAACCAAAGAAUCUUCUCAAUACUUAUUUAAAAAUUUUAAU